GACGAACGCUGGCGGCGUGCUUAACACAUGCAAGUCGAACGGAGAGGCCCUGCUUUUGUGGGGUGCUCGAGUGGCGAACGGGUGAGUAACACGUGAGUAACCUGCCCUGGACUUUGGGAUAACUUCAGGAAACUGGGGCUAAUACCGGAUAGGAGCUCCUGCUGCAUGGUGGGGGUUGGAAAGUUUCGGCGGUUGGGGAUGGACUCGCGGCUUAGCAGCUUGUUGGUGGGGUAGUGGCUUACCAAGGCUUUGACGGGUAGCCGGCCUGAGAGGGUGACCGGCCACAUGGGGCCUGAGAAACCGCCAAGACUGAUACGGGAGGAAGGAGCGGAGAUUAUUGCACACUGGGCGGAAGCAGGGAGGAGGAACGCCGGGUGCGGGAGGACUGUCUUAGGGUUGGAACGAGCUUUCGCCUGUGACGAAGCGUGAGUGACGGUAAUGGGUAAAGAAGCACCGGCUAACUACGUG
rnacentral:rRNA from 1 species